rnacentral:misc_RNA from 1 species
GGAUGGAUCAUUAACAAUCCUACCUUUUCUAACUUUGUGAACUGUUUCCCUGAACGACGACAGUCAGUGGCUGCUUGGCUGCUUGCCUGCCUGCCUGCCUGCCAGCUUGCCUGCCCGGGAGGCCUGCCUACAUGUAGGCUUCCUGGCGUGGGGUUGGCCAGGCCAGGCCAGGCAAGACAAGACUGUUGCUGAUUUUCCAAAAAGCGGAUGGUAUAUUCCAUCUAAAGCUAAAUACUGGCGAGAGACCGAUAGCAAACAAGUACCGUGAGGGAAAGAUGAAAAGAACUUUGAAAAGAGAGUUAAACAGUACGUGAAAUUGCUAAAAGGGAAACACUUGAAAUCAGUGCUGGGGGCGGGACUUGUCCUGUCUCCUGGUCAACAUCAGUUUGUGACCGAGUAUACCAGUGCAGGAAGGUAGCUCCGCCUGGAGUGUUAAGCCUGCACAAGGGCUCGGCCGUGGACUGAGGCCUGUAGUACAUGCUGCUUAGUGGCUGGUGAACCUGGUGCUGCAGGCGGGUGGUGACUUGGACAGCGUGCUGACCAAGCGCUUGUGACUGCUGGUACACACUGGGCUAGCACAAAUGUACUUUGGAUGUUGACGAAAUGGUUUUAAGUGACCCGUCUUGAAACACGGACCAAGGAGUCUAACAAAUGUGCGAGUGUUUGGGUUGCAAGCCCAGGCGCGGAAUGAAAGUAAUGAGGUGGGAUCCUUUGGGGUGCACCAUCAACCGGUCUGGAUUUUAUGAUAGAUCUGAGUAAGAGCAUAUCUGUUGGGACCCGAAAGAUGGUGAACUAUGCCUGAAUAGGGUGAAGCCAGAGGAAACUCUGGUGGAGGCUCGCAGCGGUACUGACGUGCAAAUCGUUCGUCUAAUUUGGGUAUAGGGGCGAAAGACUAAUCGAACCAUCUAGUAGCUGGUUCCCUC